rnacentral:rRNA from 1 species
GGUACGGUGCGCGUGGCCCGCCGCCUCUGGUGUGCGAGUGUCGCUUGUGCGUCUACCAUCCUAUAGCCUAACCUGGCUCUUUCCAUAGUCAGGUAAAGCUAUUCUUUUACUUUGAAGAAAUUAGAGUGUUCAAAGCAUGCUUGCGCUAUGAAUAUAUUAGCAUGGAAUAAUAAUUUAGGACUUUGUUCCUAUUUUGUUGGUUUUAAGGAAUAAAGUA